ACCCCGGGAGGGGAGUGAAAUAGUACCUGAAACCGUUGGUUUACAAUCAGUCAGAGCGUCGUCUAAGAUUUCGAUCUUAGGCCGCGAUGGCGUGCCUUUUGAAGAAUGAGCCUGCGAGUUAUGGUGUGUGGCAAGGUUAACCCGUGAGGGGAAGCCGAAGCGAAAGCGAGUCUGAACAGGGCGUCCAGUCGCAUGCUAUAGACCCGAAGCCGAGUGAUCUAUCCAUGGGCAGUGUGAAGCGGGGGUAAGACCCCGUGGAGGCGCGAACCGACCUAGGUUGAAAACUGGGCGGAUGACCUGUGGAUAGGGGUGAAAGGCCAAGCAAACUCGGUGAUAGCUGGUUCUCCGCGAAAUGCAUUUAGGUGCAGCGUCGCAUGUUCAGUCAUGGGGGUAGAGCACUGGAUGGGUUAGGGGGCCUACAAGCUUACCGACCCCAACCAAACUCCGAAUACCAUGACUCCAAAGUGCGGCAGUGAGACCCCGGGGGAUGAGCUUCGGGGUCGAAAGGGAAACAGCCCAGACCGCCGACUAAGGCCCCAAAUUCUGGACUAAGUGGUAAACGAAGUGAGAUUGCAAAAACAGCCAGGAGGUUGGCUUAGAAGCAGCCAUCCUUGAAAGAGUGCGUAACAGCUCACUGGUCGAGUGAUCUUGCGCGGACAAUGUAACGGGGCUCAAGUCCAGAGCCGAAGUCGCGGGUUUUCACAAUAGUGAAAGCGGUAGCGGAGCGUCGAUCUUGCUGUGAAGCGCCGGUGUAAACCGUCGUGGAGCGUGGUCGAGUGAGAAUGCAGGUAUGAGUAGCGAGAGAGGGGUGAGAAACCCCUCCGCCGAAAAUCCAAGGGUUCCUGGGGAAGGCUAAUCCUCCCAGGGUGAGUCGGGAGCUAAGACGAGGCCGAGAGGCGUAGUCGAUGCACAACCGGUUGAUAUUCCGGUACCACUGUGAGCACGACCAGGCUCAACCAUUGUUGCUAAGGGGAUGCUAGGAGCCCGUAAAAAGGCACCUAGAGGAACCGACCCACAAUGGAGCGGCCAGCAAUGCGGGGACGCAGGAAGGUAGGUGAACCCACCCGAUGGUAGAGGUGGGGUAAGUAUGUAGGGCGGGUCCCAGGAAAAUCCGGUACCCACUAAGCCUGAGAUACGACGCCGACUCGAUUAAGAGGAAGUCAUUGAUCCUAUGCUGCCAAGAAAAGCCGCUAGCGAGUUCUCACGGUGCCCGUACCCCAAACCAACACAGGUGGAUAGGUAGAGAAUACCAAGGCGAUUGGGAGAACUGUGGUUAAGGAACUCGGCAAAUUGCAUCCGUAACUUCGGGAGAAGGAUGACCUCAUUAAAGUGAUGGAACUUGCUUCCUGAGCUUGAAGAGGUGUCACAAACCAGAGGGAAGCGACUGUUUACUAAAAACACAGCAGCGUGCUAAGCCGUAAGGCGCUGUAUACGCUGUGACGCCUGCCCGGUGCCGGAAGGUUACGGGGACGGGUUAGCCCUUUAGGGCGAAGCUCUGAACCUAAGCCCCGGUAAACGGCGGCCGUAACUAUAACGGUCCUAAGGUAGCGAAAUUCCUUGUCGGGUAAGUUCCGACCUGCACGAAUGGCGUAACGACUUCCCUACUGUCUCAACCACAGACCCAGCGAAAUUGAAGUACGAGUAAAGAUGCUCGUUAGCUACAGAAGGACGGAAAGACCCCGUGGACCUUUACUACAACUUGGUAUUGAUGUUUGACCUUCACUGUGCAGGAUAGGUGGGAGACUUUGAAGCGCAUGCGCCAGUGUGCGUGGAGUCAUCCUUGAAAUACCACCCUGUGUAUGUUGAACAUCUAACCUCGAACCGUUAUCCGGUUUAGGAACAGUGCCAGGCGGGUAGUUUGACUGGGGCGGUCGCCUCCCAAAGAGUAACGGAGGCGCCCAAAGGUUCCCUCAGCCUGGUUGGCAAUCAGGCAUCGAGUGCAAUGGCAGAAGGGAGCUUGACUGCGAGACCUACAAGUCGAGCAGGGUCGAAAGACGGGCAUAGUGAUCCGGCGGUUGCGUGUGGAAGCGCCGUCGCUCAACGGAUAAAAGGUACCCCGGGGAUAACAGGCUUAUCUCCCCCAAGAGUUCAUAUCGACGGGGA
rnacentral:rRNA from 1 species